AUACCGGAUGGUUGUCUGGACCGCAUGGUUCAGACAUAAAAGGUGGCUUCGGCUACCACUUACAGAUGGACCCGCGGCGCAUUAGCUAGUUGGUGAGGUAACGGCUCACCAAGGCGACGAUGCGUAGCCGACCUGAGAGGGUGAUCGGCCACACUGGGACUGAGACACGGCCCAGACUCCUACGGGAGGCAGCAGUAGGGAAUCUUCCGCAAUGGACGAAAGUCUGACGGAGCAACGCCGCGUGAGUGAUGAAGGUUUUCGGAUCGUAAAGCUCUGUUGUUAGGGAAGAACAAGUGCCGUUCAAAUAGGGCGGCACCUUGACGGUACCUAACCAGAAAGCCACGGCUAACUACGUGCCAGCAGCCGCGGUAAUACGUAGGUGGCAUGCGUUGUCCGGAAUUAUUGGGCGUAAAGGGCUCGCAGGCGGUUUCUUAAGUCUGAUGUGAAAGCCCCCGGCUCAACCGGGGAGGGUCAUUGGAAACUGGGGAACUUGAGUGCAGAAGAGGAGAGUGGAAUUCCACGUGUAGCGGUGAAAUGCGUAGAGAUGUGGAGGAACACCAGUGGCGAACGCGACUCUCUGGUCUGUAACUGACGCUGAGGAGCGAAAGCGUGGGGAGCGAACAGGAUUAGAUACCCUGGUAGUCCACGCCGUAAACGAUGAGUGCUAAGUGUUAGGGGGUUUCCGCCCCUUAGUGCUGCAGCUAACGCAUUAAGCACUCCGCCUGGGGAGUACGGUCGCAAGACUGAAACUCAAAGGAAUUGACGGGGGCCCGCACAAGCGGUGGAGCAUGUGGUUUAAUUCGAAGCAACGCGAAGAACCUUACCAGGUCUUGACAUCCUCUGACAAUCCUAGAGAUAGGACGUCCCCUUGGGGGGCAGAGUGACAGGUGGUGCAUGGUUGUCGUCAGCUCGUGUCGUGAGAUGUUGGGUUAAGUCCCGCAACGAGCGCAACCCUUGAUCUUAGUUGCCAGCAUUCAGUUGGGCACUCUAAGGUGG
rnacentral:rRNA from 1 species